rnacentral:rRNA from 1 species
AUUGAACGCUGGCGGCAGGCCUAACACAUGCAAGUCGAACGAGUGGCGGACGGGUGAGUAAUGUAUGGGAAACUGCCUGAUGGAGGGGGAUAACUACUGGAAACGGUAGCUAAUACCGCAUACCAUCGGAUGUACCCAGAUGGGAUUAGCUAGUAGGUGGGGUAAAGGCUCACCUAGGCGACGAUCCCUAGCUGGUCGUAGAGGAUGACCAGCCACACUGGAACUGAGACACGGUCCAGACUCCUACGGGAGGCAGCAGUGGGGAAUAUUGGACAAUGGGCGCAAGCCUGAGGCAGCCAUGCCGCGUGUAUGAAGAAGGCCUUCGGGUUGUAAAGUACUUUCAGCGGGGAGGCGUUACCCGCAGAAGAAGCACCGGCUAACUCCGUGCCAGCAGCCGCGGUAAUAC